AGUGAACGCUGGCGGUAGGCCUAACACAUGCAAGUCGAACGGCAGCACAGUAAGAGCUUGCUCUUACGGGUGGCGAGUGGCGGACGGGUGAGGAAUACAUCGGAAUCUACUUUUUCGUGGGGGAUAACGUAGGGAAACUUACGCUAAUACCGCAUACGACCUACGGGUGAAAGCAGGGGAUCUUCGGACCUUGCGCGAUUGAAUGAGCCGAUGUCGGAUUAGCUAGUUGGCAGGGUAAAGGCCCACCAAGGCGACGAUCCGUAGCUGGUCUGAGAGGAUGAUCAGCCACACUGGAACGGAGACACGGUCCAGACUCCUAAGGGAGGCAGCAGUGGGGAAUAUUGGACAAUGGGCGCAAGCCUGAUCCAGCCAUACCGCGUGGGUGAAGAAGGCCUUCGGGUUGUAAAGCCCUUUUGUUGGGAAAGAAAAGCAGCAGGUUAAUACCCCGCUGUUCUGACGGUACCCAAAGAAUAAGCACCGGCUAACUUCGUG
rnacentral:rRNA from 1 species